GGUUAAGCGACUAAGCGUACACGGUGGAUGCCCUGGCAGUCAGAGGCGAUGAAGGACGUGCUAAUCUGCGAAAAGCGCCGGCGAGGUGAUAUGAACCCUUGACCCGGCGAUGUCCGAAUGGGGAAACCCAGUGCAAUCCGUUGCACUAUCGUUAACUGAAUACAUAGGUUAACGAGGCGAACCGGGGGAACUGAAACAUCUAAGUACCCCGAGGAAAAGAAAUCAACCGAGAUUCCCCCAGUAGCGGCGAGCGAACGGGGAGCAGCCCGGAGUCUGAAUCAGCUUGUGUGUUAGUGGAACGGUCUGGAAAGUCCGACGGUACAGGGUGAUAGUCCCGUACACCAAAAUGCACAGGUUGUGAACUCGAAGAGUAGGGCGGGACACGUGGUAUCCUGUCUGAAUAUGGGGGGACCAUCCUCCAAGGCUAAAUACUCCUGACUGACCGAUAGUGAACCAGUACCGUGAGGGAAAGGCGAAAAGAACCCCGGCGAGGGGAGUGAAAAAGAACCUGAAACCGUGUACGUACAAGCAGUGGGAGCCUCUUUAUGGGGUGACUGCGUACCUUUUGUAUAAUGGGUCAGCGACUUAUAUUCUGUAGCAAGGUUAACCGUAUAGGGGAGCCGAAGGGAAACCGAGUCUUAACUGGGCGUUAAGUUGCAGGGUAUAGACCCGAAACCCGGUGAUCUAGCCAUGGGCAGGUUGAAGGUUGGGUAACACUAACUGGAGGACCGAACCGACUAAUGUUGAAAAAUUAGCGGAUGACCUGUGGCUGGGGGUGAAAGGCCAAUCAAACCGGGAGAUAGCUGGUUCUCCCCGAAAGCUAUUUAGGUAGCGCCUCGUGAACUCAUCUUCGGGGGUAGAGCACUGUUUCGGCUAGGGGGCCAUCCCGGCUUACCAACCCGAUGCAAACUACGAAUACCGAAGAAUGUUAUCACGGGAGACACACGGCGGGUGCUAACGUCCGUCGUGAAGAGGGAAACAACCCAGACCGCCAGCUAAGGUCCCAAAGUCAUGGUUAAGUGGGAAACGAUGUGGGAAGGCACAGACAGCCAGGAUGUUGGCUUAGAAGCAGCCAUCAUUUAAAGAAAGCGUAAUAGCUCACUGGUCGAGUCGGCCUGCGCGGAAGAUGUAACGGGGCUAAACCAUGCACCGAAGCUGCGGCAGCGACACUAUGUGUUGUUGGGUAGGGGAGCGUUCUGUAAGCCGUUGAAGGUGUGCUGUGAGGCAUGCUGGAGGUAUCAGAAGUGCGAAUGCUGACAUAAGUAACGAUAAAGCGGGUGAAAAGCCCGCUCGCCGGAAGACCAAGGGUUCCUGUCCAACGUUAAUCGGGGCAGGGUGAGUCGACCCCUAAGGCGAGGCCGAAAGGCGUAGUCGAUGGGAAACAGGUUAAUAUUCCUGUACUUGGUGUUACUGCGAAGGGGGGACGGAGAAGGCUAUGUUGGCCGGGCGACGGUUGUCCCGGUUUAAGCAUGUAGGCUGGUUGUCCAGGCAAAUCCGGAUAAUCAAGGCUGAGGUGUGAUGACGAGGCACUACGGUGCUGAAGUAACAAAUGCCCUGCUUCCAGGAAAAGCCUCUAAGCAUCAGGUAACACGAAAUCGUACCCCAAACCGACACAGGUGGUCAGGUAGAGAAUACCAAGGCGCUUGAGAGAACUCGGGUGAAGGAACUAGGCAAAAUGGUGCCGUAACUUCGGGAGAAGGCACGCUGAUAUGUAGGUGAAGUG
rnacentral:rRNA from 1 species